CAUGAUUAUCAAAAAUACAAUAACCCCAAAACGGCCCUGCGCAAACUACAUGUCGAUUUGUCAAAAUAUACCCUUUCUCCGCAUCUACCACAAACCCCGUAGCCUGACUCGACAUGGACAAAUCCGUAUCAAACGAUGCAGUCUGGCAGAAAUGGAUAGAGACAACGCUCUUCACUACCGUCUCGAUAGUAGCCUGCCAUUCUGGCGAGUCUGUCUGCGCAGCAGCGGCAGGGGCAAGGGGAAGCAUAUGGGAGAGAUCCCCGUCUUCGUUAUCGAGGACAUAAACUGCCUCUUCGCCCAGGGUUUGGUCAUCUGGGGUUAAUGGUUGCGGGGAGGCGGCGGUGUCCGAGCGGAGGUGUUUGGCGGAGCGGAGGGAGAUAGGCCCGCUACUGUGUUUGCGCUUGGAGCUCAUUUCCAUGGCGGGAUGAGGAGGGAGGAGGGAGGAGGGAGAUUGAGGAAGGAAGAGAAAGGGAGGUCGGGAUCGCGGUGCUAUUGUUGGCGGGCUGUUUUCCUGUUUCUAGUUGAAUUCGGCGGUUGGUUCCUGGUGCGUUAUUGUGCCUAGGUUUAACGUGGUGGAGAACGGGAGAAAGUUUCCGCCGAGGAGAUUAGAUAUAAUGCACAGCAAGAAACGGAGAAGAGGUUGAAGAAAUAAAUAGGGAAUGAUGAACGGCGGCAAAUUAUAAAGAGAAAGGAAAAAAUGAGAGAGAAUGAUGCUGAGAAGAGAUCGUCUAGCUGUAUGCUAAAGACUGUUGACAACACGAGGAGGAGGAGGUUGAGGCUGCGGCUCAAGAUCGAGGAAGUGGGCGUCGUCGGCUUUCGCAAGAGUGAACUAGCGGGAAUAACCACGCGAACGAUUCACCACAAAUCCAAGUCAAUGGAUGGAUGUAGGAUAUCGGACGAGCUGUGCUGGGUCCAGGCGUACGGUAUCUAUGAAAGAUAAGAGACGACUGCAGGUUGCUGCCGUUACAUUGUUCGCUCCUCGUCUCCUUAUUUCUCAUUGUCCUUAAAAGUUAACG
rnacentral:sRNA from 1 species